rnacentral:rRNA from 1 species
AUUGAACGCUGGCGGAAUGCUUUACACAUGCAAGUCGAACGGCAGCACGGGGUAACCUGGUGGCGAGUGGCGAACGGGUGAGUAAUACAUCGGAACGUGCCCAAUCGUGGGGGAUAACGUAGCGAAAGUUACGCUAAUACCGCAUACGAUCUACGGAUGAAAGCGGGGGAUCGCAAGACCUCGCGCGAAUGGAGCGGCCGAUGUCAGAUUAGGUAGUUGGUGGGGUAAAGGCUCACCAAGCCGACGAUCUGUAGCUGGUCUGAGAGGACGACCAGCCACACUGGGACUGAGACACGGCGCAGACUCCUACGGGAGGCAGCAGUGGGGAAUUUUGGACAAUGGGGGCAAGCCUGAUCCAGCCAUUCCGCGUGCAGGAUGAAGGCCUUCGGGUUGUAAACUGCUUUUGUACGGAACGAAACGGUUCUCUCUAAUACAGGGGGCUAAUGACGGUACCGUAAGAAUAAGCACCGGCUAACUACGUGCCAGCCGCCGCGGUAACAC